ACGUACUACCCAAACGUUAUUCGGAAUCACUGGGCUUAAAGAGUCCGUAGGCGGCUCGAAAAGUUGGAUGUGAAAUACCUCGGCCUAACCGAGGAACUGCAUUCAAAACUUCCGGGCUUGAGAGAGGCAGAGGUAAGCGGAACUGAUGGUGGAGCGGUGAAAUGCGUUGAUAUCAUCAGGAACACCGGUGGCGAAAGCGGCUUACUGGGUCUCUUCUGACGCUGAGGGACGAAAGCUAGGGGAGCGAACGGGAUUAGAUACCCCGGUAGUCCUAGCCUUAAACGAUGAGCACUAGAUCGAGGGGACCUCCACAUCCUCUUGGUCGUAGGGAAACUGUUAAGUGCUCCGCCUGGGGAGUAUGGUCGCAAGGCUG
rnacentral:rRNA from 1 species